GAUCUUGGCUCAGGAUGAACGCUGGCGGCGUGCUUAAGACAUGCAAGUCGAACGCAGCCGCUCCGCAAGGGUGGCUGAGUGGCGAAUGGGUGCGUAACACGUAGGUGACCUGCCCGGAAAGUGGGGAAUAACAGUCCGAAAGGACUGCUAAUACCGCAUGCGGUGCGCGGGGUUAGAGACCCGCGUUCCAAAGGCACUCGAAAGGGUGCCGCUUUCGGAGGGGCCUGCGGCCCAUCAGCUGGUUGGCAGGGUAACGGCCUACCAAGGCGACGACGGGUAGGGGACCCUGAGAGGGUGACCCCCCCACACUGGCACUGACACACGGGCCAGACUCCUACGGGAGGCAGCAGUCGGGAAUAUUGCCCAAUGGACGAAAGUCUGAGGCAGCAACGCCGCGUGCGCGAUGAAGGCCUUCGGGUCGUAAAGCGCUUUUCGGGUGGAUGAGAGCGGACAGUACACCCGGAAUCAGGUACGGCUAACUACGUG
rnacentral:rRNA from 1 species